CCUACGGGAGGCAGCAGUGAGGAAUAUUGGUCAAUGGACGAGAGUCUGAACCAGCCAAGUAGCGUGAAGGAUGACUGCCCUAUGGGUUGUAAACUUCUUUUAUAUGGGAAUAAAAUGUUCCACGUGUGGGAUUUUGUAUGUACCAUAUGAAUAAGGAUCGGCUAACUCCGUGCCAGCAGCCGCGGUAAUACGGAGGAUCCGAGCGUUAUCCGGAUUUAUUGGGUUUAAAGGGAGCGUAGGUGGAUUGUUAAGUCAGUUGUGAAAGUUUGCGGGUCAACCGUAAAAUUGCAGUUGAAACUGGCAGUCUUGAGUACAGUAGAGGUGGGCGGAAUUCGUGGUGUAGCGGUGAAAUGCUUAGAUAUCACGAAGAACUCCGAUUGCGAAGGCAGUUCACUGGACUGCAACUGACACUGAGGCUCGAAAGUGUGGGUAUCAAACAGGAUUAGAUACCCGUGUAGUC
rnacentral:rRNA from 1 species